AAGUCGUAACAAGGUUUCCGUAGGUGAACCUGCGGAAGGAUCAUUACUGGGUAAAGGCUUUUCGCCUCCAACCCCACCCUCUGUAACUGCGGCCCGGAUUCGGCGCCUGGCGGGGAACCCCUCUGUUCGCGGAGACUCCUCGCCUGCCGGAAUCAGCCAACACUGUCUCGAAAAUUGAAGUCUGAGAACAAGUUUAAAACUAAACAAAACUUUCAACAACGGAUCUCUUGGUUCUG
rnacentral:misc_RNA from 1 species